rnacentral:Y_RNA from 1 species
GGCUGGUGUGAGUGCAGUGAUGUUUACACCUAACUGAUCACAACCAGUUAAAGAUUCCUUUGUUCUUUCUUCACUCCUACUGCUUCAGUUGGCUAUCCUUAA